ensembl:lncRNA
CGCACGGCUCAGCGGGCUGUACGUCCCAGUGCUGGGGAGGACAGCUGCCUCCUGGGUCUCUGUGUGUAUUGCUGCCACUGCGCGGGACGGCUCUCUGCAGCUCAGCUCCCCUCCAACUACUGCACCCUGCCUUUCGAUAUUAUUGUCUUACAGGAUUACAUUUAAAUUGCAGACCUCAAACUAACCUGGAAAGUUAAAUCCUCUGGAGAGUAAGUGUAAAUAGGAUUACCCAUAACUUCCAGUCCUUGCCCAGCUGCACCACUGUGGCUCCUCUGACCUCUGCAGAGGAACAGAAAUCACACAGGCAGAACAACAAAGGGCUUUGGGAUAUUAUUUUGGUUUUUUUCCUCUCAGGAGAAAGGAAGACAGAGGAUACCAGAAAGUGUCUUCAGAUACUGGAGGGACCAGGAGACUUUGAACUCUAUACUCAUCAUCCCCACCUUCAGACCUCAAAGCCUGCUGCCCAGUUCCCUGGGUACAGGAGCAUAAGGGACAUCCCCAAGGCCCGGUGCCUGGGAAAAGAAAAGGUAGUUCCUAAAAAGCAAGACUACCCUGAAGAGGAUGUCUCCCAAGGGCAGCAAUAUCAGCAAAAUCAGGCUCAGCAGGCACAGACAAGCCUCUCAAGUCUAAAGCGACAAGGAGCCCCCACUACUGGUGCCUGAUUAUUUGGGCAGGACUGGCCCCAAACAGGCAAAGGCAACAGGAAAAGGCAUUUUCGCCCCAGGGAUGACAGGGAACUUUCAAAAGCAGCUUUGGUAAUUAAGGGUGGGCUGAACAAGACAUUUUGUCCUCAUAGGACUCAAGAAGGGUAUGAACACUGGUAUGAUCCUUGCAAGGAAGGAAAGAGAGGAGGAUGGAAGUGGAAAAGAUAAAAUCAUUGCCAAAAAAUCUCUCCUGGCUCCUUAUCCUCCCAGGUAUACAUAGCAGUAUUGCAGGCUCACGGAAGUUACAAGCUUUCUGAAGCUCGAAAAUGAAUAUUGUUGAACAUUUACAUUUAAUAACUGGAGGAAAGAAAUGGCAGAGUGACUGCCAGCACUCACUGGGUAGGGCUGACAAGUUGUUUUAAAUUGCUUUUCACCAGUACUAUCAGUAGAACAGACCUGUGCCAAGACACCAGGAACAGCUAUUAGUAUAAUAGCAUGUUUACGCACUUCAGAGCGGUAAUGGAAGGUAUUGCAACAGGGAUUGACAUUAAUAUGGAGAAACUAAGAAGAAAGGAAGGAAAAAGCCAUGUGGACAGAUUCAGGAGACUAAGUGGAAAUACAAAGUUCAGGAGGAAAGAGUUUUACAGUAGACAACUACACAGAUUAGCAAGUUAGAUUAUGCCAAAACAAAAUAACCAGCAUUGAGACUAACGACCAGUAAAAAUAUCCCAACAGAAAGAUGCAGAUUCAUUGAAACGUAACACAUAUUGUAAACAAUUAGUAGCAAAGUUACUCUUUGAGGAUACCAAAAAGUAUCUUUAGACACUGGAGGGGCCAAGAGACUUUGAAGUUUUUCCAAUUUUUAUCUUAUAAUUCAUGUCUUUUAGACUGUCAUGCAACUGCAAAGUUUUCAGGAAGUGAUAAUCUUGAAAGCCACAAUAGGACAAACAGAAAUGAUAUGGCAAAAAGGAAGGAACAUUCUUCAUUCGUUUUCUUAACUUCAUCUUUGCUUUUGACUGACAUAUUGCUCAAGCAUGUACUAAGAAUCAGUAUUUAUAUAUUGAAAAGCACCUAACUGAAAUAUCUCAAAUUUCACAGAGCUUGGAUUCUAAACCUACCAGUAUUUUAACAAACUAGUAGUGUUCAGUUGCAACACUCCACCUCUUCUGGGAAGCCAAUUCAGUUGAAAAAGGGUUAUCUAUGUUUUUGUUAUUCAAAUGACUUCCAGUGGAAAAAGAAAACAUUAGGAAGAGCUGUAGAGGAAUCUUUUCAGAAAUUAGUAAAGUGAUAUGUGAAUAAAGUUUGUGGAGUUCCAGGUCCUGCUCUAAUUAGUCCUGAAAAAAAGAACCCCCAAACCAGCAACUCUUCAAUAAAAAAUUCAUAAUUUCUGCACAUUUUACCUUCUUCUUGCUUUCUCUAUUAAUAAAGGAAAGGAUACCAAGAAAAUGAGUUGGGACUUUCCAUGCACACCAGAUGAGUUCAGAAGGCAAACUGAAUUAAAGCUUUAACAAAAAUCCAGACCAAAUGAGAUGAACUAUUCAAAAUUUCAGUUUUGCCAUACUGACACCUCUCUAGUGCUAAGUUCAAGGCUCUAGAGAGAAAACUAUCUAAUCUUACAAAAGCCACCCAACAUACUGCACUAAACAUUAAAUAGAAAAUUUAAUAGAAACAUUAAAUAGAAGCAGGAAGAAGUAUGAGUAGAGAGUGUUAGACAAUAACCAGCUUAACCCAUGGUGAAAUAAUGUACUGUAACAAGUUAUUGGUAAUCAGUUACAGAAGUGUAAUAAAUCUAGCUUAUUUCUAUUUAUACCACAUUAUAGAAUUACUUUCUAGAAAACUGAUGGUAUA